GCCAGGGUAGUUUAAAUGGUUAAAACUUUAAUUUCAUACAUUAAAAAUGAGAAUUCGAUUUUCUCCCCCGGUU
rnacentral:tRNA from 1 species